AAAAAACAUCUUAUAAAUUACACGUAUUACUAUCAAGGUGGUAUGGACCCUUUUGCAUUAUCCGACCAUUACGUCCAUAGUUAUCUUCCUUAGAAAUUGAGAAAUUUUGAAAUCCUUGUUCAAAGUCCCAAAUUUUUAUCCUUUUCUUUCCAAACAUGCACAUUUUUUUUUUAUCAAUCAGAACCCAAUCCAAACCCUAUAUGAGCAAUAUAGAAAAAAAACAUCGUUCCAUAUAACUUCAUUGAUUGCCUUUUACACUGAAAUUCCCGACGCCCUUUGAUGCUUUGCAUCAAUAAUUAUCUUGUAAUUCUAGUGUAAAAUGUCUUGAAAUACUUCCAGCAUGAAGUGUUAUGUGAUGAAAACAAUGUAUAUUUACUACAAUUUGUAAAUUAAGAAUAAGUUUGUUGCAAAGUAGAUUCAAAGUGGGUGGUUAAAGUGGUAUGGUCUCAUAGUUCAGCAAUUGCCUGUUUGGAAUACUGAAGAACAGUUGUAACAGGUUUGUAUUUGAAUUUCUGCAUCCAUUUUUUAUUUAUUUUAUUGAAUUAAUAAUUAUCAUUAUCAUAUUUAUGUAUUGUCACUGGGAAAUGUAAAUGUAUAAGUAAAUGUAAUGUAAAGGAAAAACUACAACAUUUGAAUUAUUAUCGCUUUAUUUUAUCGUUAUUGUCAUCUUAAAUGUUAGUUAUACCUAUUUCUGGUCAGCAAUGAACAGAUUUCUUUCCCCCAUAUUUAAUCAGAACUUUUAUAUUGAUCAGAAGAUCCUUUGGAAAGAAUGUUCUUCAUCAUCGCCUGCAAAAAAGGGCAAAAGGUGGAUUAUCUGAUGUACCAAGUUUUACCCUGCACGAGCAGGCCAAUUUAAGGGGAACAGGAAUGGGAAAACUGCACCCUGACCUUGACCAAGAAAAGCUGGAUUUGUUGAGAGGACCUGAUCUCAAAUGAGAUCAUGCACGAGGCGGGCCUCGCAAAGGCCACAAUAGUUUUCAGACCUGAUCGGCUGGUGAACUGCUCUAUGAAGGGUGGUUCAACCACCCCUACGGGGGGAGAUUCAAGAGGGUCUCCCGAUUGCCGAACGCUGCGCCAUAAUGUCAUCUCCAAAAAGUUUGCCCUGUCCAUCUCAACAGUGAAAGAAAAAAUGAGAUGGGCCUUAAGGAGGCUUGUGUGAUGAACAGCGCGGAGAAUUUAUGAGAUGAAUUGUGUAGUGCUGAGCAACUUUGUUGCGUUUGUAUAUAGGAGUAAAUAUGUGUAAAGGGCUUUUCCAUGAAAAAAUAUGAUAAGGGUUCUUUAGUUGCGUCAUUUUAUAAAUCCGGUACCACCAACACAGUUUAACACACUUAUUAUUAAUUUUAUCAUGCUUAUCACCAUUCACUAACUGGUACUGUAUACAUCAUGGUUCAUACCCCUUCUCCAGUUUUCACCAGUGGUAGCCCUCAUGAACAUUUUAUUGUCUCCUACAGGUUUCACCGAAGGGGACUUAUGGUUUGCGCUCAGUCAAUCUGUCUGUCUUGUCAGUCUGUCCGUCACACUUUUCUGGAUCAUGCGAUAACUUUAAAAGUUCUUCAUAGUUUUCAGG